UACGUAGGGAGCAAGCGUUGUCCGGAUUUAUUGGGCGUAAAGAGCUCGUAGGUGGUUCAGCAAGUCGGGUGUGAAAGCUCUGGGCUCAACCCAGAGAUGCCACCCGAUACUGCUGUGACUAGAGUCUGGUAGGGGAUCGCGGAAUUCCAGGUGUAGCGGUGAAAUGCACAGAUAUCUGGAGGAACACCAGCGGCGAAGGCGGCGAUCUGGGCCAGUACUGACACUGAGGAGCGAAAGCGUGGGGAGCGAACAGG
rnacentral:rRNA from 1 species